rnacentral:rRNA from 1 species
UACGAAGGGGGCUAGCGUUGUUCGGAAUUACUGGGCGUAAAGCGCGCGCAGGCGGUUUUUCAAGUCCGUUGUGAAAGCCCGGAGCUCAACUCCGGAACUGCCAUUGAAACUGUAAAACUUGAGGACGAGAGAGGUGAGUGGAAUUCCCAGUGUAGAGGUGAAAUUCGUAGAUAUUCGGAAGAACACCAGUGGCGAAGGCGGCUCACUGGUCCGGUACUGACGCUGAGGCGCGAAAGCUAGGGUAGCAAACGGG